rnacentral:rRNA from 1 species
AACGAACGCUGGCGGCAUGCCUAACACAUGCAAGUCGAACGAGACCUUCGGGUCUAGUGGCGCACGGGUGCGUAACGCGUGGGAACCUGCCCUUAGGUUCGGAAUAACUCCCCGACAGGGGUGCUAAUACCGGAUAAUGUCUUCGGACCAAAGAUUUAUCGCCUUUGGAUGGGCCCGCGUUGGAUUAGCUAGUUGGUAGGGUAAAAGCCUACCAAGGCGACGAUCCAUAGCAGGUCUGAGAGGAUGAUCAGCCACACUGGGACUGAGACACGGCCGAGACUCCUACGGGAGGCAGCAGUGGGGAAUAUUGGACAAUGGGCGAAAGCCUGAUCCAGCAAUGCCGCGUGAGUGAUGAAGGCCUGAGGGUUGUAAAGCUCUUUUACCCGGGAUGAUAAUGACAGUACCGGGAGAAUAAGCUCCGGCUAACUCCGUG